ACGAGUAAAGAUGCUCGUUACGCGCGGCAGGACGAAAAGACCCCGUGGACCUUCACUACAACUUGGUAUUGGUGCUCGAUUCGGUUUGUGUAGGAUAGGUGGGAGACUGUGAAACUCACACGCCAGUGUGGGUGGAGUCGUUGUUGAAAUACCACUCUGAUCGUAUUGGGCCUCUAACCUCGAACCGUCUAUCCGGUUCAGGGACAGUGCCUGGCGGGUAGUUUAACUGGGGCGGUUGCCUCCUAAAAAGUAACGGAGGCGCCCAAAGGUUCCCUCAACCUGGACGGCAAUCAGGUGUUGAGUGUAAGUGCACAAGGGAGCUUGACUGCGAGACGAACAUGUCAAGCAGGGACGAAAGUCGGGACUAGUGAUCCGGCACCCCCGAGUGGAAGGGGUGUCGCUCAACGGAUAAAAGGUACCCCGGGGAUAACAGGCUGAUCUUCCCCAAGAGUCCAUAUCGACGGGAUGGUUUGGCACCUCGAUGUCGGCUCGUCGCAUCCUGGGGCUGGAGCAGGUCCCAAGGGUUGGGCUGUUCGCCCAUUAAAGCGGCACGCGAGCUGGGUUUAGAACGUCGUGAGACAGUUCGGUCUCUAUCCGCCGCGCGCG
rnacentral:rRNA from 1 species